GUGUAAGUAUGAACAAAUUCAGACUGUGAAACUGCGAAUGACUCAUUAAAUCAGUUAUAGUUUGUUUCAUGGUAUCUACUACUCGGAUAACCAUAGUAAUUCUAGAGCUAAUACGUGCAACAAAUCCCGACUUCUGGAAGGGAUGCAUUUAUUAGAUAAAAGGUCGACGCAGGCUCUGCCCGUUGUUGCGUUGAUUCAUGAUAACUCGACGGAUCGCACGGCCAUCGUGCCGGCGACGCAUCAUUCAAAUUUCUGCCCUAUCAACUUUGGUGGUAGGAUAUUGGCCUACUGUUAGCCCCUUGACAAAGGUCCUCGGCAGGUAUGGG
rnacentral:ncRNA from 1 species